AUUUUUUAUAUGAAUUAAAAAAAUAUUUUCCUUACUCUAUUAGUUAGUUAUAAAAUAUUAUUUGUUUUCCUCAAAAAAAAAAGAAGAAUCGUUGAAACAAAAUGAACAAAUACCAACCCAUACUUGUACUCAAAAAAUUUAACCAGUGAGUGAGCUUUGUUUUCAUAAUAAGAAUCUGAAUAAUAUUUUCUAUACUAUUUUCUUGUUUGAAGAAAACAAAAUAUAUUUUCUUGUUUGUACUUGGAGCUAUUUCAAGUAACAAAAUAGCAAAGAAAAACUAAAAAGAGAAUAGUGUGACAUUUAUUUAAACUUUGAUUAUGAUUUAUUAUCACCAACCAUUAACCAACGGUCUCAUAUAGUAGUACUGGUGCAAAUGCAAUGAAUCCCAUGCGUUGAAACGAGAUUCUUUCGUCUGUAAGUCAAACCCAACGAGCAUAUACACGUGUUCAACAAACACUAUCAUACUUUCACAUCAUUUAAAAAAAAAAUAUAUAUAUAUAUACAGUAAAAUAUAUUGCUUAUUAUAUAUAAUAUACAAAUAACACGUUUAAGAAAGUGUACGAUCAUUAGACAUGGAAGCAUUGACCAUUUAAGAAAGGAAUGUAUGCGAGGAAGAAAUUCAAUUUGUCGUACACUAUUCUAUUGAGAACUCCCAGCCUUACACGUUUCAUCCACAAUCUGAAAUAAACUAAGAUUUAACUUUAUAACAAUCAUGGAAUAAAACCAAGUAAGGGCAUGAUUAUCAAUACUCCCAACAUUGGUGUUUAGAGCAUCUCUAUCAGUAAACUCUACGAAGAGUUCACACAGUUUUCGAAAAAAAAAUAUUAAAAUAAACAAAAAAAGUAAAUCUGUCUCCUACAGGGUCACUGCACUGAACCCGGGUCAUCACUGUAGCGCGGGCUCCACGGCACGUGGCGGCCCGCGAUUGGUCCGAUUAAUUAAAUUUUUUUUUAAACAAAAAUCAAACAGAAAAAAAUAAUAAAAAAAUAUUUUGUGAACUCCUUCCAUGGGGUUCACUGAUACAGAUGCCCUUAGUGUUUUGGUGUGGGAUCCACCACAUUUUUUUAGGAACUUUGCCCAAAUGUCCCUAAUUAAGAAACGUCCCAAGGGUUGUCCUUAACUGUUUGCGGACCCCACUGACACGUGGCGGUCCGCAAUUGGUUCAUCAUUUAUUUUAAAAAAUAAAAAAUAAAAAAAUUUGAGGACCAAAAAAUGUCCCAGCCGAUAAUCAUGCCCUAAAGAUUGUUCUAAAAUAGUAGCAAGUUGGAUUAAUAGUAAUUUGUCUACAUAACGAGAUAAAACUGCUUUCUACCCUUUUCAAAUAAUAUACGGAAACAUUAGAUUUAAAACGAAAGAAAGAACAAAGAAAAUGUCUAUAGAAAAGUCUAUUCUUCAAAAAAUACUUCAAAAAGACUUAAGUUACAUAUCUUGGGGUUUAUCAUUUAUGCUAAAGGGAUGUAUGAGUUACCAGCCAAAAACCUCUUAAACCAUUUUUUUUUUAAAUACACGUAGUCAAGAUGAUGUUAACUGGUAAGCAAAGAGAGAGCAUGUCAUAGCCACCAUUACAUUUUAUUGUCCUUGAUUAUGAUUAGUUUUCAGUAUUCCCGAAGAAGAUUUAUACAAAUGUACAUUAUACCAAAACAUGUUUUUUUUAUUCGCAGCUUUGCAUGUAGCUUUUGAAACUGUUGCAAUUGUUAUUUGAGAUAAUAACAUGUUGCAAAUAACACAUAUUCUUUUUGUUUUUUUUAACAGUUAAAGAAAAAAUAGACAUGCAAUAUACUUAAAAUUGUUUAUGCAUUCAGGAUUGUUUUAACUUGAUUGAAUUACAACAAUAUAAAAAAAAUAUUUUAGAACAACCUUUAGUUGGUUUUAAACUUUUAAUCCAUGAUUGUUAUAAAAUUAAAUCUUAGUUUAUUUCAGAUUGUGGAUGAAACGUUUAAGGAUGGGGGUUCUCAAUAUAAUAGUGUACGACAAAUUGAAUUUCUUCCUCACAUACAUUCCUUUCUUAAAUGGUCAAAGCUUCCAUGUCUAAUGAUCGUACACUUUCUUAAAUGGGUUAUUUGUAUAUUUAAGCAAUAUAUUUUACUUUAUAUAUAUAUAUAUUUUUAAAUGAUGUGAAAGUAUGAUAGUGUUUGUUGAACAUGUGUAUUUGCUCGUUGGGUUUGACUUACAGACGAAAAGAAUCUCGUUUCAACGCAUGGAUUCAUUGCAUUUGCACCAGUAGUACUAUACGAGACCGUCGGUUAAUGGUUGGUGAUUGUAAAUCAUAAUCAAAGUUUACAUAAAUGUCACAAUAUUCUCUUUUUAGUUUCUCUUUGCUAUUUUGUGACUUGAAAUAGCUCCAAGUACAAACAAGAAAAUAUAUUUUGUUUUCAUAAAAGAAGAAAAUAGUAUAGAAAAUAUUAUACAGAUUCUUAUUAUGAAAACAAAGCUCACCCACUGGUUAAAUUUUUUGAGUACAAUAGUAUGGGUUGAUAUUUGUGCAUCCAAACCCAUAACGAAAGACUGUCAAAUCAUUUUAAUGUAGCACUGAUUAUUAAUUUUUAAUAUUUUUAUUUAUAAUUACAGUCAAAAUAACUACUUUUGUGGCUUUUGUGUGUACACAUUGUUACCUUUUUUUUUUAUGUUUGCGCGUGGACCCGCAUUUCCUGAAGAAUAUGGGCCCCUCAAGCUCUAUAUAUAUUGUGCUGGCUUCUCAAUUCUUCCUCCAUCAGUUUUAAGUCAUUUUUUAAACUUCUCUACAAGAGUCAUGAAUGAAGACUAUGUGGAAAACUUGAGACACCGUACAAGUAAGUAUCUAGCGGCAAUGAAGGCUCUAGAAAAAAAGGCAGAUAAAAUUGCAGAACUAUGCGAUGCUCAGGUAGGCGUUAUCUGUUAUCCGACCGACAACCUUACCCCGCUAUUUUACGGACGUCCAAGUCUAAGGAAGGUGGUGGAGAAAUACCUGUCUGAUGACCUUGGUGAUAACCUUGCUUCUCUAAACCAAUUGUUGGAUACGAUCGAUUUGGACAACCUCUCUAAAAAUGAAUUGCGAGGCCUACGCGACAGUUUACGUAAAUUACAUGAAGAACUUGCUCAGGCUAAAGCAAAACUUGCUCAGAAUCAAGACUAAAGAUGAGUGGUGAGAUUUGUUGUUGAAUAAUGGCAUCUUAUGUGAUAGACUAUAAGAUUGAGUGGAUGAUGUUAAAAAUAAUGUAAGGUGAGUGGAUGUUGUUAAAAUAAUGUAAGAAACUACAUUGAACUAAUAAUAUAACCUUACAGAUUCCAAGA